AAAUUGGACCAUAUGCUAUCAAGAGGAGGUUCCAGUUCUACCAUACCUCCCUGAACACACCAAUCUUGUCUGAUUUUGGAAACUAAGCAGCGCCUGGUUAGUAUUUGGAUGGAAGACCACCAGGAAAUACCAGGGAUCUCCAGUGUUCAGAAUUAGCAGCAAGAGCAAGCAAACAAAGAAACAGCUAAAAUGAACAUGAGCAUGGGAAACAUGAAGGAAAGAUGACUAACCUGAGGCUGUUGUACUUUGGACAUAAUGAUGUGACUCACUGGAAAAGAUGAUAAUGUUUGGUAUUGUGGAAGGCGGUAACAGAAGAAAACUGCACUAGAUGUGGAUUGCUUCAACCAUGUCUCUGGAUUUUCAAGAUCUCAGCAGGGCAGAUGUUGACCUGAGGGUCUCUCAUUUAUAAGGUUGCCACAAAUCAAAGUUGGUUGGAUGGCAAAUAACAACAUUUCUGCAGGAUGUCUCACUAUUUUGGAUUACAUUAAACCUGUGCACUUGUAUGUGCAUGA